rnacentral:tmRNA from 1 species
GGGGUUGAAUUUAAGCUCGACAUUGGAUUAACAAGUUGGAAUGGCAAGCCGGGUUUAUCUGCACGUUAGUCGGAUUAAACAAAACAGAUGCAGAAAAAAUUUCAGCAUUCAGCAAGGCGUUGAACAGCGAAUUCGCUAGUCGAGUAGCUAAUCAACAAUUUGCGCUAGCAGCCUAAUUUAUUAGACUGCGACUCAUUGUUCUAGACAUCAGAUAUGGAACAGAGUCUUAUAGCAUCUGAUUGCUCAUAUACUCGCCACCUUAGAGUAUGUGCUAAGACUAUAAGGUUGCUGUUUGUAUGUAUUUUGUCUAUUUAGACCAUACAAACCUAAGAACGCUAAAUAGAACAAGCUUGUAGUCAUCCAAUGAAUUAACUAAUGGACGCGAGGGGCAGAACCUCGCCAACUCCACCA